UGCUCCCCACCCAGAGUUUAAGCAAUUCUCCCACCUCAGCCUCUUGAGUAGCUGGAAUUACAGGUGCCUGCCACUGUGCCUGGCUAAUUUUUGUGUUUUUAGUACAGACGGGGUUUCACCAUCUUAGCCAGGCUGGUCUUGAACUCCUGACCUCAUGAUCCACCCACUUCAGCCUCUCAAAGUGAUGGGAUUACAGGCAUAGGCCACCACACCUGUCCAGGUAGAGGAUACUCACACAGGCACAUGAGUAUAUGCCAUGGGUAUAUAGAUGCUCCUGACUUCUUUCAUUCUUCCUGGUUAUUCCAAAUGGUGUUACGUAAAAUGAUUUAAAAUCAUCAGUAUGUUGAAAUUUAGUUUUGACCAAGUCCUUGAGUAAACACAAAUGUCUACAUUGUGCUCUACAGUUUACCAAGCAUUUUUCUUCACAUUCUCCCAUUUAAACCUCAUACCCAUGGUUUUAUUUUAAUUAUCAUUUUCCUGUACAGUUAAGAACGCUAGAGGUAGUAAGUUCUGGGCCAGAUCUUCAUCUGGCUCAUCCAACACCAGGGGUCUUGCACUACAUCAUACCACCUCUACUUUCAAGUUUCGCACAAUAUGAGAUGUUCUAUUUUAUUUCCUUCCAUUUAAUCCAUGCAGAGUCAAACUGCUUACUCUAAGUUCAUACUUAAUCUGAUUUAGACAGUCAUAUUUGGCUUGCCUUGUUUAUACCUUUUGUUGAAACCUGUUUCCUUCUGAGACUUGACCCCACAGUUUUCCCAGAGACCAGAUGAAUGUAUUCUAGCAAACACUCAUCUGGGUGUUGCUGUAAAGGUUUGGUUGACUCUUCUGUUAGCUUUCCAAAUGUUCCUGAAAGAGGCCUGCAGGGUGACCUCCAACAGACUGAAUGACAGAGGCUGGCUUUUGUGUCAACAACUUAUGCAAGCAUCAGGAACUUCCAUUAAACACAAGUGAAGAUACUUCUUUGCUCUGAAACUGGCACACUAAAACUCAGCUUCGAGAGGAAGAACAAUACUCUUUUUUUCUUUUCUUUGUGUUUGUUUGUUUGUUUGUUUGUUUUGGGGACAGAGUUUUACUCUGUCACCCAGUC
rnacentral:lncRNA from 1 species